UACGGAGGGGGCUAGCGUUGUUCGGAAUUACUGGGCGUAAAGCGCACGUAGGCGGCUUUGCAAGUUAGAGGUAAAAGCCCGGAGCUUAACUCCGGAAUUGCCUUUAAAACUGCAUCGCUAGAAUUGUGGAGAGGUGAGUGGAAUUCCGAGUGUAGAGGUGAAAUUCGUAGAUAUUCGGAAGAACACCAGUGGCGAAGGCGACUCACUGGACACAUAUUGACGCUGAGGUGCGAAAGCGUGGGGAGCAAACAGG
rnacentral:rRNA from 1 species